GCUGGGUGCUGUGGCGCAUGCCUGUAAUCCCAGUGACUCAGGAAGCUGAGGCAGGAGGAUUACAAGUUCAAGGCCAGCCUGGGUAACCUGGUGAGACUCUGCCUCAG
rnacentral:sRNA from 1 species